GAUUAGAUACCCUAGUAUAAAAAUUUAAUAGAAUUAUUAUAUGUAAGGAAAUUUAAAAUUUUUGGCGGUUAAUUAUUAAUUAGAGGAGUUUGUUUUGUAGAAUUUACUCUUUAUAUUUUAUUAAUUAUUGUUUAUUUAUCUCCGUUAUAAGAUGAAAAUUUUAGAAGUUUUUGCUUGUAUUUCAGGUCAAGAUGUAGCAAAUAUUAAAUAAAAUUAACUACAUUAAUGUAAUUAUGAAUUUAUUAAUUAAAGAGUAGUAAUGAAAUUGGAUUUAAUUGUAAUUAGAUUCAGAAAAAUUAAAUGAAUAUUUAUAAUUAAUGUACAUAUUGCCCGUCACUUCUUUUGAUAAAAAGAAUAAGUCGUAACAAAGUAAAUUUA
rnacentral:rRNA from 1 species